GACGAACGCUGGCGGCGUGCUUAACACAUGCAAGUCGAACGGAAAGGCCCUGCUUUUGUGGGGUUCUCGAGUGGCGAACGGGUGAGUAACACGUGAGUAACCUGCCCUUGACUUUGGGAUAACUUCAGGAAACUGGGGCUAAUACCGGAUAGGAGCUCCUGCUGCAUGGUGUGCGUUGGAAAGUUUCGGCGGUUGGGGCUCGACUCGCGGCUUAUCAGCUUGUUGGUCGGGUAGUUGCUUACCAAGGGUUUGACGGAUAGCCGGCCUGAGAGGGUUAACGGCCACAUGGGGACUGAGAUACGGAGCAGAAGCGUACGGGAGGCAGCAGUGGAGAGUAUUGCACAAUGGGCGGAAGCGUGAUGCAGAAGCGCCGGGUGCGGGAUGACGGGCUUCGGGGUGUAAACAGAUGUCGCAUGUGACGAAGAGUGAGUGACGGUAAUGGGUAAAGAAGCACCGGCUAACUACGUG
rnacentral:rRNA from 1 species